ensembl:snRNA U6 U6 spliceosomal RNA
GUGCUGGUGUCAGGGGUACAUAUACUAAAAUUGAAACAAUGUCAAGAAUGUUUCCUGCACAAGGAUGACACACAAAUCUGUGAAGUGUUGCAUAUUUCU